AACGUAGGACACAAGCGUUAUCCGGAGUUACUGGGCGUAAAGAGCGCGCAGGCGGUCGAUCAAGUCGCGUGUGAAAGCCCCCGGCUCAACUGGGGAGGGUCACGCGAUACUGAUCGACUCGAAGGCAGGAGAGGGUAGUGGAAUUCCCGGUGUAGUGGUGAAAUGCGUAGAUAUCGGGAGGAACACCAGUGGCGAAGGCGACUACCUGGCCUGUUCUUGACGCUGAGGCGCGAAAGCUAGGGGAGCAAACGGG
rnacentral:rRNA from 1 species